GACAGAGGAUGCAAGCGUUAUCCGGAAUGAUUGGGCGUAAAGCGUCUGUAGGUGGUUUUUAAAGUCUUCUGUCAAAGAUUAGGGCUUAACCCUGGGCCGGCAGAAGAAACUUAGAAGCUUGAGUUCGGUAGGGGCAGAGGGAAUUCCCGGUGUAGCGGUGAAAUGCGCAGAUAUCGGGAAGAACACCCGUGGCGAAGGCGGCUCGCUGGGACGGUACUGACACUGAGACGCGAAAGCGUGGGGAGCAAACAGGG
rnacentral:rRNA from 1 species